rnacentral:lncRNA from 1 species
AUUGUGUUCUGUGAAAAGAGAGUCCUGCCAAGGGCUACGAGGCAGAAAACUGAUAUUAUUAAAGUGGUCUUCUGAACGGUGAGGACCUGAGGCACAGAUGCUAACCAGCUUGCUGGAGAUCACACACUCAUGAGUGGCAGAGUGGGGCUUGGAACCGGGUAGCCUGGCUCUGGAGCCCUCACUCCAUCCACACACCAUGCUGGGACCCAGUCGAGUGACCAGCAGACCGGUUGUGUGGGUUAGGUGGAAUGGUGGAUAUAAACCACACAGCCCAGCUCCUGACCCAUGCUGGGCCCUCAGUGUAUGUUUAAGCUCAGGCUGGAAAAGGAUCACUGAAAGUCACUUGGAUGGUGUCUCGUGUGUCUGUGAUGAGCUUGCUGUUGCUUUCUUUCUCCUUGACAGAUGAGAAAACAGUGGCUUCAAAGGUUAAACAACUUGUCUUCGAUUGCACAGCUAACAAGAGCUCACUGUCCAAAGGGAGUCUCUCUCCCCGGUCCACAUGCUGAGGCUUGCUCCAGAGUGAAUGUGUGCACUGGAAAGAACCCACACAGGCCCCCUGAGAGCUGUCAGCCUUGCCAGGCUUCUGUGAGAUCCCUGGGUCCGAGUAGCCAAGCUGGGAGGAGCACCAUUUGCCCACUGACUCUUGGGCAACGCUGCAGCCUGCAUCCCAGCCGGCAGAAGGCAGGUGGUAUCACAGCUGAGUUUACAGCCACGGAAGGAACCACUGUAGGCUUUUAGUAGAUAAUAUGUUUUCUCUGCUUCAAAUCCUUAUUUUGGUUGCUUAAAAUUUCUGCAGAAAACAAACAGCUUCUGCCAAAAUUGGCUCACAAAAUUAGCUUACUAGUAUAAUCAGUUGUAUAGCAAGUAUUUACUGAGUAGCUCUUGGAAGGCAGUCAACACAAGAGGGAUGGAUCAUUCUUCCAGUUCAUCACACGUGGGUUGGACAUGCUAACAGUCCCCGAUAGCUAUCAGGCGAGUAAAUGGAUGAUCACACAAAGGCAGAGGCAUCGCAGAAGGAUGCUAACUAGAUGUCAUGCGUCAAGGAUACUACAGAAGGAUCUCUUUGCUGACAAGGAGGGUACCUCUAAGGUUCCUUCAGAUGGGAUGGUUCUCUGUUCACCGUGAUCACUACUAUGCAAAGGCCUGUGGGCCAUUUAGGAGAAAAGCAUUCAGUCCAAUUCCACAGACACAGUGAGGAUGUAAUAUGCCCUAGGCAUAUAUGAGUGGAUCCAAGGAGGAAAUACUCAGUCACUACUGUCAAGAACUCAUGACCUGCUGCAGGGUUUGCCAAACUAUGGCUUGUGGGCCAAUCUGGCUCACCACCUAUUUUAGUAAAUAAUGUUUUACUGGAAUCCAGACACGCUUGUUUGAUUACAUAUUGUCUAUGGCUGCUGAGCACCCACUAUAAGGGCAAAGUUAAGUAGAUAGAGACUUUAUCACCCACAAAACCUAAAAUAUUUGACUGGAUGGCCCUCUACAGAAAAAGCCUGCGAACCUGUGGUCUUGUGGGAGGACACUGCUGGGCACAGUUAACUCUAAUUCUUGGCUGUAGCAUCUUGAAUAGGGUGGCAGUCCCUGGCUGCUGAGGGGGACAGCUGGACGGCUGCCUCCCAGGGGCAUUUCCAUGACUUGCAGGCCCAGAAACUAGACUUGGGCAUGACCACAGAGUUCUUGAUGGACUGAAGAUGCCCAAACCACAGACUGACUUGUAGGCUAGAAAUGAACAUGUGGGGUGGAAUAGUCCUUUUGGGGACUAGAAUAAUUUCUAGAGAGCCACCCUUUCUACAUGAUACGGCGCACAUUCUUGAGACCUGAAGUGAAGAAGUUAACUUUAUAUCAAGUUACCUACCAAUUAGGCUAGCGAUUUCUCUGUCUUUUAAAACAUUCUUUUAAAGUCUUGUCAUGUUUCAUCUUUCUAGAAUUCAUUUUUCACAUCUUCAUUCACUGGGAUUCUGGACCAUAAUAUAUGUAAACACACAAAAUACUAAAGAUUGAAAAUAC